rnacentral:misc_RNA from 1 species
GGUGAUGGAUUUAGCUAAAUGCGACGGCGUAUGAGUGGUAAUUGGGUUGUAUUCGACGGCAGGCUCCGUGCUUCGGCAUCGAACUGUCGGCUCGUACCCCGCUUCAUUGAUGCAUCAAGAUUCGUCUUGUGCGCGAGAUGGGUUUCUGUUUUGUCUACCUAUUGUGAAGGAAUGCUGCCUCUCGUCGUCCCUUUCCUCCUCUCGCUGGCCUCGCCGGCGGGAGGACGACAUCGUAGCGGCACUCGUGUCCCGGACGAGCCACACUCGUUGUGGUGCAGUUUCGGUCCUCGCGUUUUCGCUCGACAUCUCGGGUGCGGAACACUGAAAGGGGCGGUGGGUCUUUACGGCCUCCGAUCGUCCAAUCGAAGCCUUGUCGCUCGAUGCGCACGACUGUCGCGCCCGUCGCGAGCCGUCGACCGCCAAGGUCGUC